GGGCGUAAAGAGCUCGUAGGCGGUUUGUCGCGUCUGGUGUGAAAACUCGAGGCUCAACCUCGAGCUUGCAUCGGGUACGGGCAGACUAGAGUGCGGUAGGGGAGACUGGAAUUCCUGGUGUAGCGGUGGAAUGCGCAGAUAUCAGGAGGAACACCGAUGGCGAAGGCAGGUCUCUGGGCCGCAACUGACGCUGAGGAGCGAAAGCAUGGGGAGCGAACAGGAUUAGAUACCCUGGUAGUCCAUGCCGUAAACGUUGGGCACUAGGUGUGGGGCUCAUUCCACGAGUUCCGUGCCGCAGCAAACGCAUUAAGUGCCCCGCCUGGGGAGUACGGCCGCAAGGCUAAAACUCAAAGGAAUUGACGGGGGCCCGCACAAGCGGCGGAGCAUGCGGAUUAAUUCGAUGCAACGCGAAGAACCUUACCAAGGCUUGACAUGCACGAGAAGCCACCAGAGAUG
rnacentral:rRNA from 1 species